rnacentral:sRNA from 1 species
AUUACAGUAUCAAAAGUCUUUCUCCACGUCAUGCUUGCAUGUAAGUGGAGAAAUGUCUUUUUAACACGCCCCUCAAUGAGUAUGAAGUGGGGCGAAUGCCCCAUGAGAAUACGAAUUGUGGGAGGAUUGUGGGAGUGCGAAGCACGUAGCAAUCCGU